GUCUCCUUUUAUGUUGGGUCUGUGUUCUGC
rnacentral:piRNA from 1 species